rnacentral:lncRNA from 1 species
CCAACUACAACUAAAAAAUAAAUAUUAAAAAAAGAAGGGGAAACUCUCACUGUCUUUCCAACCCCAGCCAAGUGAGGACAGCAAAAGGGUGGCCAUCUGCAAGCCAGGCGAGGGACCCUUACCAGAACCGCGCUUGCUGACAUCCUGAUCUUGGACUUCAGACACCAGACUCCAGAACUGGUAGAAAAUAAAUACCUGUUGUUUAAGCCCCAACUCUGUGGCAUUUUGUCAUGGGAGCCCUGCAUCUGACACAGGGGUCCAACACCCUUCUUUUGUGCGUGGCUAACCAGUUGUCCCAGCAUCAUUCAGUGAAAGGACUAUUCUUUUCCACUAAAUUGUCUUGGCUCCAGUUAUUGUUAAACUAGCUCAGAACUGAGAAUAGAAUCUGUCCAAAUCAUCUGUGAGCUGAGGAGAAACAGUGAAAUAAAUAACACCACUCCUCUAUCCUCAUUUGUAAGCAGAUGAGGACAUUCUAGAAUUUUGAUCUGAAGCUUUGUCCAUGGGAAGCAUGAAUCUUUGAUUCUCCCUUUCUUGGCCAGCAUGGGCUAGUACCUCAGUAACCCUACAUCUUUUUAUAGUGGUGAAAUAAUCAAGCCAUGUCAGGUGCAAUACACUUAGUGCCUGUGUUCUGGAGGUCAGCUGGUGUGAGGAAUCGGGGGGAAGGAGGCUUGAAUAAGUACUUGUGUACAAAUGAAUACAUAUCUAGUAGCAAUUUCACUUAUAAAUCUAUAAACUUGUAUGGAAAUCUAAAUCCCAACCAAAGAAAGGUUUGUCUAACCAGUUCUUUUCCCUCCUAGCCCAUGGCCAAAUUUAAUUUUGGCUCCAAACCAACAUUGAAAGACAGAGAGAGGGACAUAAGGGGAAAGCAACAACAACAAAAAAAACCCUUUUGCUACCUGAAGCACACAAUGGAUUCAUUGAUCGGAGAACAAGGUAGUUCAAUUGCUUGCUUUACCUUGCUGCUGGGAAAAAACAAAACCUCUUAUGAAAACAUGGCUUGUGGGAAAAGGUGUGAUUACUCUAAAAAGCUUUGCUUUGUUUCUGCACUCUACUCCACAGAGCUCAAGUUAUGCAGCCAGCAGGACCUGAAAGUCAGACCUGGCUAAGCCCCUGAUGCAGCCUGUGGCUUGGGAAGAUCCAGAAGUCUUAACAAGGUUACCCAAGAAAAAUGGGGACAAGAAGAGUGAUCCUGCGUAUGGCCACAUGCUUCAGUUUCUACCCUUCAGCAAUGGAGGAUACCAUUGUCAACUCUCUGGAGAUGUGGAGAGGAACAAGUUUGCCUCUGCCCGCUUCUCUACUCUUUGGGUUGGAUAGAGGACCAAGAACUGGCACCAGCAAGGCUAACAGGUCCGUGCAUGCUCCACCCAGUAAUGAGGCCAGGUGUCCCCAAUCAGAGAGACAAUUCUAAGGCAGAAUUUCCUUUACACAUUCAAAAUUGAGGAAAAAUCUGCCCAGACUAUUUAUCCAGUGCACUAGUGACAAAGAAAUGCUCCAGAUUUUGAGAUGCUACAUGCGUUGGCAUCAUCAAAGAAGGAACAUGAGGAGACGGAUAGAAGUCUGAUGGAUUAUCUCUCUCCUCUUUAUGGUGGAGAACUCCUAGCCACAAUUGUCCUUGCUUAGCUAUAUUCCUACAUUCCUGGAAUCCACUGUGGCAUGGGGUCAUAGACUACUGCUAUUAGAACCUCCUGCUUGGUAGGAGAUCUGGUUUCUUCCCCCACCACCUCUGCUUCUCUUUUAUGAAAUUAUAUAUGAUUAGAUGUUAGAUUCAACUCUUUCUAUUGUUUAGGAGAUGGACAGAGUCCUAAAGUCAGAUCCUAUUAAAAUAGAUGCUAAGUAACACCACAUUAUAAGAGAAUAGGAUAUUGAACUACUGUUAAAGACAUGUUAGAAAUGAUAAAACCAAGCCUGCUAGCAUUCAUAGUCAUCUACUUUCAAUCUUUAAAAAUAGAGAGGGAAGGAGAACGAGUUGCAGUAGGCUUGAGCUGCAGUUUCUUAGACAGAGGGGAGGAAAAGGCUCGUCUUUUUGUGGAUACCAGAUAUGAGCCUGUGGGAGGGGAACCAGCCUGGAGUCUUCUUGAAGGAACUCUGUCCCUGAAGAUGCCCUGGAGGGAGUAGACCACCAGGAGCUGACAGAUCUGGGGGAAACUGAAAUUCGGCCAUCCAGAAGGAAGCCUCAUCCAUGAUAAGUAGGAUGACUAUAACUUUUCUCCAAAAUGGGGAUACUUUUAAGAAAGAAAAGAGAUUCCACUGACACAUCUGCUGAAGCAACAGACUUCAACUGGAACUGUCCCAACAAACAGGACAUAGAGUCAGCCUCAUGUUAAGGAGACUGAAUUGGAAGUUCCCAUAGCAACCUGCAACUUCCUCCCACCAGGGGCCAGUUUUGCAUCCCUUUUGGUCUCAGAGAGCAUCCUGAUAUCAUCCUAGUUUGAACUGACUGACUGGGUGGUAACUGUAGGCAGGUAGGGUGUGGCUGGAAGAGGUGGGUCACUAGGGGUGUGCUCUGGAAAGGUUGUACUUCCUGUGGGGGGAAGCCCCCUGCUUCCUUGCUGCCUCGAGGGGAGCAGCUUCUGCCUCCUCUUGGGCCCAGACAAUGGAGUGGGCCAUUUAUGGACUGAGACCUCAAAUAAACUUUUCCUCUUCUAAGUUGUUCUUGUCAGGUAUUUUGGUCACAGUAAUGAAAAAGCUGUUUAAAACAAGAACCUCAUCUGAAUUAUGCUCAAGCUUCUACUACACAAAUCUAGUGUGAAGUUAUGAGAAGUUUUCCUUAAGGCGCACACCAUAACCCUUCUUCAUGCCCUAUAAUGAAGCAGGAGUGCAAAACCCACAUUAUAGUCCCACUGAACUUUAUUCAAGAGGCAUGUAUCUAGGACUGAACACAUGCCAAACAUCUGAUAAGCGUCAAUGAGUAUAAGCUCUUGUGAAGAUUUACUGAGCAUCUACUGUGUAUCUGACAUAUGCAUUAUUUCACUUAUUAUUUGCAAUCAUCUAUGAAGUUCCACAUCAAAAGUUACAUUCUUCAGUCGUAGAGUCAAAAGUCAAACUCAAAUUUCUUUCUUCUGUACCUUAUUUCUAUUCUAGGAG